rnacentral:rRNA from 1 species
CUACGGGCGGCUGCAGUGGGGAAUAUUGUACAAUGGAGGAAACUCUGAUGCAGCAACGCCGCGUGGAGGAUGACACUUUUCGGAGCGUAAACUCCUUUUAUAUAGGAAGAAGAUGACGGUACUAUAUGAAUAAGCGCCGGCUAACUCCGUGCCAGCAGCCGCGGUAAUACGGAGGGCGCAAGCGUUACUCGGAAUCACUGGGCGUAAAGAGCGUGUAGGCGGAUUAAAAAGUCAGAAGUGAAAUCCUAUAGCUUAACUAUAGAACUGCUUCUGAAACUCUUAAUCUAGAAUAUGGGAGAGGUAGAUGGAAUUUCUGGGGUAGGGGUAAAAUCCGUAGAGAUCAGAAGGAAUACCGAGUGCGAAGGCGAUCUACUAGAACAUUAUUGACGCUGAGACGCGAAAGCGUGGGGAGCAAACAGGAUUAGAUACCCGCGUAGUC